GAUCCUGGCUCAGAAUCAACGCUGGCGGCGUGCCUAACACRUGCAAGUCGAACGCGAAAGUGGAGCAAUCCAUGAGUAGAGUGGCGAACGGGUGAGUAACACGUGGGUAAUCUGCCUCCGGGUGGGGAAUAACUCGCCGAAAGGUGAGCUAAUACCGCAUAAUGCAGCGGCACCAAAUGGUGAUUAGUUGUUAAAGCGGGGGACCCUUCGGGGCCUCGCGCCUGGAGAGGAGCCUGCRGCAGAUUAGCUAGUUGGUGGGGUAAUGGCUCACCAAGGMAUCGAUCUGUAGCUGGUCUGAGAGGACGGCCAGCCACACUGGMACUGACACACGGRCCAAACUCCUACGGGAGGCAGCRG
rnacentral:rRNA from 1 species